ACGCCCUCGGGUCGUAAAGCUCUGUCNUCAGGGGCGAAUGGCCCGGUUCGGGAAAUGGGUUCGGNUUGGCGGUACCUGAAGAAGAAGCCCCGGCUACCUACGUGCCAGCAGCCGGGGUAAUACGUAGGUGGCGAGCGUUCUCCGGAAUUACUGGGGGUAAAGGGUGCGCAGGUGGGGNUCUUUAAGUCCCUUUUUGAAAAUUUCGGAGGUUCAACUCNGUGAUGGGAUGAAAACUGGGAUUCUUGAAGUCCGGAAGAGGGAAAGCGGAAUUCCCCCGUGUAGCGGUGAAAUGUGUAGAUAUGGGGAGGAACCCCAGUGGCGAAGGCGUCUUUCUUGGACGGUGUCUGACCCUGGAGCGCGAAAACAAGGGGAGCAACGGGAUUUAGAUUCCCCGGUAGUCUUGCCGUAAACGAUGG
rnacentral:rRNA from 1 species